UCGUAACAAGGUUUCCGUAGGUGAACCUGCGGAAGGAUCAUUACAGAGUAAACCUGAUAAGUUGUUGCUGGCUCAAUUUUUUUUGGGGCAUGUGCACACUUGUCAUUUUUAUCUUUCCACCAAGUGCACUUUGCAUAGGUCUGGAGAAUUUUUAAUCAAAGGUCAUCUUUGGUUGCUGGAAAACUGCUGUUUCAAAGAAUAGCUUUUUUCCCAUUCCUUCAGAUUCUAUGAUUGAUACAAUUACACCAAAUGUAUAUUUAAGAACGUCACACAAAGGCUAUUGCAGCCUAUAUACAAAUAAAUACAACUUUCAGCAACGGAUCUCUUGGCUCUCGCAUCGAUGAAGAACGCAGCGAAAUGCGAUAAGUAAUGUGAAUUGCAGAAUUCAGUGAAUCAUCGAAUCUUUGAACGCACCUUGCGCUCCUUGGUAUUCCGAGGAGCAUGCCUGUUUGAGUGUCAUUAAAUUCUCAAUCAUCUCCAGCCUUUGUGCUGUUUAGAUGAUUGGAUGUGGGGGUCCAAGUGGGUUCACCAUACUGAAUCUACUCCUCUAAAAAUUAUUAGCUGGAAUGCCUUUGCAAAUUUCAACUAUCAGUAUGAUAAAUGUCUAUGCUGGUGUUGUUGUAAAAGGGAAUCUGCUUUCAAACUGUCUUUAAGACAAAUAGAAUCAAUUUGACCUCAAAUCAGGUAGGACUACCCGCUGAACUUAA
rnacentral:rRNA from 1 species